GAUUGUUUUAACUUUAUAUGCUUUGUUCAACGUGAAUUGAAAGUGAUUGUGGAUGAUGUGGUUCACAGAGUACAAUGAGUCUGUGUAGCUGCUUUGGAUUCUUGCUGUUUGUCCUCCACAAUCUCCCAGGCACCACAGAGGAUUUCUUCCUAGAUUCGUCUCAUUCUGCUUUUCCCAUCACCUUCGGUUUGGGAGUCAUCUUCAUGUCUGUUAUUUUAGUCGUUUUUGCUGCAUAUAAAUGGAAACAAAACAAAAACAGAAACAAAGAGAGGGAGCACCUUAAGACAACUGAGAAGAAUUCAAUCAAGGCUUUCCAUACAGGACAAAGAGACAAUGAGACCAAGAAUUUGGAGGAUGAAAUCGAUGAAAUUCAGCAUCUCCGAGACCAGAAUCAGAGCAUGGGGAACGAGCUGCAGACCUUGAAGAGAGAGCUGGAGACCAACAAAAAACAGUCAGCUGACAAGGCCAGGGGGCAGACCUUUGAGGAGCUUAAGAACACCCAGUUUGAACUGGAGAAAAAGACUGCGGAGAUCAGGAACCUGCGGAGAGAGUUUGAUGACAGACUCAGGGAAGAGAAUCAGAGUAAAGAGAAAUGCCUGCAGACCCUGAAGGAGGAGCUGGAGAGCAAGAACAAGGAGCUUUGUGAGUCCAAGCUUCAGUUCGAAUCUCUCAUGAAGAAGAAUCAGGAGUUUGAGAGAAAGCUGACUGAACUUAGAGAGCUGCACAAGCAGGUGUUAAAGAAGAUGGUCGAGGAUGAGCAGCAGAGGACGGAGGAAGUACAAAAGGAAGUGGAGACCCUGAAGAUGGAGCUGGAGAAGAAGAAGGACGAGAAAAGCCAAGCAGGGGAGUCAGAUGUUCAGAAAUCUCUGAUAGUAUGUGACAGCUCUGGAGAAGAACAUUUAGUGUCAGAGGAACAGAGUAAAGCAGCGGAGAUGGCUGAAGAAUUACCAAAUGUUGCAAAAGAAGUUGUGAACUGACAAUCUGUACAACAAGCAGAAUCCAGUGAUUUGUUUGAUUUGGAGCUAUUAUGUACAUAUUCAGUGCAAAAGAAGUAGUGUGAUGCAGUUUGGGAAGUUUAAAUUGUUUGAUGACUGACUGCACUAAAAGUACAUAAACAAUUCUGAAAAAAAAAUAAAAACAUACUUGUAUUUAUACCUUAAACAGCCUUUUAAUAUAUAUGACUAUAAUAUAAUAUUCAUCACUGCUAUUUUUAAUUGCCUUACUCUAUGUUGUUACUGUAACAGUUUAAUAAAAUAAUUACUUCUGUG
rnacentral:lncRNA from 1 species